rnacentral:tRNA from 1 species
AAUAAGGUGCCUGAAUAAAGGGCUAUCUUGAUAGGAUAUAUAAUACAAAAUUUUUGUCCUUAUUA